rnacentral:rRNA from 1 species
UAGACUAUGAGCUAACGCUUGGUGCGGCCCUUCGGGGUAGCCGGCGGCGAACGGGUGAGUAACACGUGGGUGAUCUGCCUUGCACUUCGGGAUAAGCCUGGGAAACUGGGUCUAAUACCGGAUAUGACCCCGAAUCGCAUGGUUUGGGGUGGAAAGAUUUAUCGGUGCGAGAUGGGCCCGCGGCCUAUCAUCUUGUUGGUGAGGUAACGGCUCACCAAGGCGACGACGGGUAGCCGACCUGAGAGGGUGACCGGCCACACUGGGACUGAGACACGGCCCAGACUCCUACGGGAGGCAGCAGUGGGGAAUAUUGCACAAUGGGCGCAAGCCUGAUGCAGCGACGCCGCGUGCGGGAUGACGGCCUUCGGGUUGUAAACCGCUUUUGACAGGGACGAAGCGCUAGUGACUGUACCUGUAGAAUAAGGACCGGCCAACUACGUGCCAGCAGCCGCGGUAAUACGUAGGGUCCGAGCGUUGUCCGGAAUUACUGGGCGUAAAGAGCUUGUAGGCGGUUCGUCGCGUCGUUUGUGAAAACUUGGGGCUCAACCUUAAGCUUGCAGGCGAUACGGGCGGACUAGAGUACUUCAGGGGAGACUGGAAUUCCUGGUGUAGCGGUGAAAUGCGCAGAUAUCAGGAGGAACACCGGUGGCGAAGGCGGGUCUCUGGGAAGUAACUGACGCUGAGAAGCGAAAGCAUGGGUAGCAAACAGGAUUAGAUACCCUGGUAGUCCAUGCCGUAAACGGUGGGUACUAGGUGUGGGGCUCCUUCCACGGACUCCGUGCCGUAGCUAACGCAUUAAGUACCCCGCCUGGGGAGUACGGCCGCAAGGCUAAACUCAAAUGAAUUGACGGGG